CAGUCGCCGCGGUAAUGCGUAGGUGGCAAGCGUUGUCCGGAAUUAUUGGGCGUAAAGCGCGCGCAGGCGGUUUCUUAAGUCAGAUGUGAAAUCCCCGAGCUUAACUUGGGAACUGCAUUUGAAACUGGCAAGCUAGAGUCUUGUAGAGGGGGGUAGAAUUCCAGGUGUAGCGGUGAAAUGCGUAGAGAUCUGGAGGAAUACCGGUGGCGAAGGCGGCCCCCUGGACAAAGACUGACGCUCAGGUGCGAAAGCGUGGGGAGCAAACAGGAUUAGAUACCCGUGUAGUCCCUGUCUCUUAUAC
rnacentral:rRNA from 1 species